rnacentral:rRNA from 1 species
AUUGAACGCUGGCGGCAUGCUUUACACAUGCAAGUCGAGCGGUAACAGGGUGCUUGCACCGCUGACGAGUGGCGAACGGGUGCGUAACGCGUGAGCAACCUACCCAUAACAGGGGGAUAGCCCGGAGAAAUCCGGAUUAACACCGCAUGUUACAGUAUUACCGCAUGGUAUAGCUGUUAAAUAUUUAUAGGAUAUGGAUGGGCUCGCGUGACAUUAGCUAGUUGGUGGGGUAACGGCCCACCAAGGCGACGAUGUCUAGGGGCUCUGAGAGGGGAAUCCCCCACACUGGUACUGAGACACGGACCAGACUCCUACGGGAGGCAGCAGUAAGGAAUAUUGGUCAAUGGACGGAAGCCUGAACCAGCCAUGCCGCGUGCAGGACGACUGCCCUAUGGGUUGUAAACUGCUUUUGUACGGGAAUAACCCUCUCUACGUGUAGAGAGCUGAACGUACCGUAAGAAUAAGGAUCGGCUAACUCCGUGCCAGCCGCCGCCGUAA